AUUGAACGCUGGCGGCAUGCCUUACACAUGCAAGUCGAACGGUAACAGGUCUUCGGAUGCUGACGAGUGGCGAACGGGUGCGUAAUACAUCGGAACGUGCCCGAUCGUGGUGGAUCACGGAGCGAAAGCUUUGCUAAUACCGCAUACGAUCUACGGAUGAAAGCAGGGGACCGCAAGGCCUUGCGCGGACGGAGCGGCCGAUGGCAGAUUAGGUAGUUGGUGGGAUAAAAGCUUACCAAGCCGACGAUCUGUAGCUGGUCUGAGAGGACGACCAGCCACACUGGGACUGAGACACGGCCCAGACUCCUACGGGAGGCAGCAGUGGGGAAUUUUGGACAAUGGGCGAAAGCCUGAUCCAGCCAUGCCGCGUGCAGGAUGAAGGCCUUCGGGUUGUAAACUGCUUUUGUACGGAACGAAAAGACUCUUUCUAAUAAAGAGGGUCCAUGACGGUACCGUAAGAAUAAGCACCGGCUAACUACGUG
rnacentral:rRNA from 1 species